UGCCAUGGCAGCGGGGUCGCGGGCCGGCGCCAGGGAAGGCCCCGAGGCUGCGGGCGGCCAGGGCUGCCCGCGGAUCCCCAGACCCGGACGCCCGAGCCAGCAACCCUGAGGGGCGGCCGGGCAGCGCCGCCACCAUGUUCCUGGGCACCGGGGAGCCGGCCUUGGACACGGGAGAUGACAGUCUGUCUGCAGUCACCUUUGACUCUGAUGUGGAGACGAAAGCAAAAAGGAAAGCUUUCCACAAACCUCCACCCACAUCGCCAAAGUCACCUUAUCUCUCUAAGCCGAGAAAAGUGGCCUCCUGGAGGUCCCUCAGGACGGCAGGGAGCAUGCCUCUGGGCGGCCGAGCGUCCCUGACCCCGCAGAAGCUGUGGCUGGGAACCGCAAAGCCAGGAAGUCUGACCCAGGCCCUGAACUCACCCCUCACCUGGGAGCAUGCGUGGACCGGCGUCCCCGGCGGCACUCCCGACUGUCUGACAGACACCUUCAGAGUGAAGAGGCCACAUCUCAGGCGCUCUGCCAGCAACGGUCAUGUCCCUGGGACUCCUGUCUACAGAGAAAAAGAAGAUAUGUAUGACGAGAUUAUUGAGUUAAAGAAGUCAUUGCACGUGCAGAAGAGCGACGUGGACCUGAUGAGAACGAAGCUCCGGCGCCUGGAGGAGGAAAACAGCAGGAAGGACCGGCAGAUAGAGCAGCUCCUGGAUCCCAGCCGCGGCACGGAUUUUGUUCGGACUCUGGCAGAGAAAAGGCCCGAUGCCAGUUGGGUCAUUAACGGGCUGAAGCAGAGGAUCCUGAAGCUGGAACAGCAGUGCAAGGAGAAGGACGGCACCAUCAGCAAACUUCAGACCGAUAUGAAGACUACCAACCUGGAAGAGAUGCGGAUCGCCAUGGAGACAUACUACGAGGAGGUGCAUCGUCUCCAGACCCUCUUGGCAAGUUCUGAAACCACCGGAAAGAAGCCCCUGGGGGAGAAGAAGACAGGCGCCAAAAGGCAGAAGAAGAUGGGCAGUGCCCUCCUGAGCUUGUCCCGGAGUGUCCAGGAGCUCACGGAAGAGAACCAGAGCCUGAAGGAGGACCUGGACCGCGUGCUGAGCACCUCCCCAACCAUCUCCAAGACACAGGGUUAUGUGGAGUGGAGCAAGCCCCGGCUGCUGAGGCGCAUUGUGGAGCUGGAGAAGAAACUAAGUGUGAUGGAGAGCUCAAAAUCACACGCCGCAGAGCCAGUCAGAUCACACCCGCCAGCCUGCCCUGCAUCCAGCUCUGCGCUGCACAGACAGCCACGAGGGGACUGCAACAAGGACCACGAGCGUCUCCGAGGGGCUGUGAGAGACCUGAAGGAAGAGCGGACCGCGCUGCAGGAGCAGCUGCUGCAGAGAGGUUUGGAGGUGAAGCAGCUCCUGCAGGCGAAGGCCGACCUGGAGAAGGAGCUGGAGCGCGCGAGGGAGGGCGAGGAGGAGAGGAGAGAGCGAGAGGAGGUUUUGAGAGAGGAGAUUCAGACGCUUACCAGCAAGCUCCAAGAAUUGGAAGAAAUGAAGAAAGAAGAGAAAGAGGAUUGCCCGGAAGUUCCUCAUAAGGCCCAAGAGCUCCCAGCUCCCAGUCCCAGCAGCAGGCACUGCGAGCAAGACUGGCCACCGGAUUCCAGCGAGGAGGGGCUCCCGCGGCCCCGCUCCCCCUGCUCUGAUGGGAGAAGAGACGCCGCGGCCAGAGUCCUGCAGGCCCAGUGGAAGGUGUACAAGCACAAGAAAAAAAAGGCUGUUCUGGAUGAGGUAAGCGAGGUUUAUUUCUUGUUUCAAAAUUCGGAUUUGUAUUUUGUUGAAAAGUAGGUGAGGGGAUAUUUAAAGAUGUGUUGAUUCCUUUUCUUUUUUUUUUCGAGAUGGAAUCUCACUCUGUGGCCCAGCCUGGAGUGCAGUGGUGCAAUCUUGGCUCACUGCAACCUCCGCCUCCUGGGUUCAAGCGAUUCUCCUGCCUCAGCCUCCCUAGUAGCUGGGAUUACAGGGACGCACCACUGUGCCCAGCUAAUUUUUGUAUUUUUAGGAGAGACGGGGUUUCUCCGUGUUGGCCAGGAUGGUCUCCAACUCCUGACCUUAGGUGAUUUGCCCAUCUUGGCCUCCCAAAGUGCAGGAAUUACAGGCGUGAGCCACCGCGCCCGGCAAGUCCUUCUUUUCAUGAAACCAAACCAGACCCCAACGUUAAGUAUAAAAUACAUGAGAAAUAGAGACAUCAAAUAAAUACUUGGAUAAUUUCCCACUUUC
rnacentral:sRNA from 1 species